GGCACCGGAAUGAAUCCUCAUGAACUCUGCAGCACUUGUUUCUUACCCCACAUCAGCCAUGGCAAGACCUGGUUGUGUCAUUGGCACUGAACAAAGAAAGGAACCAUGGUCCAUAACAGAAACCAGGCAAACCUUUGUCUGAAGGAAUACUUGCUUUUCUUAUCUGUAUCCUUCUGAAGAACUCCAGCACCAACAGUGAUGUUAACUGUGCCCGAGAGAAUCUUUGCUUUGGCGACAGGCAGGACAACCACUCCUAAUAUAUAUGGGUCAGUGAACGCUGCACAAGAAGCACAGAAACCAGGAAGAACACGACUGAUGAAAUCAGCAUUUAAUUUAAGGUAUUGAAUAUCCUUGGCAUCUUUCUGCUAACUUCACCGGGCACCCUCUGCCAGCAAAACUCACAAGGAAUAUGUUAUACUUCUCUGAAUUAAUGCAUCUUGAGCAGAGCAAGACUACACAAUUCUUCCAGUAGCCACUGAACAGAAACUUUGAAUUCGUCACAGAAUAAAACUUUUGUAGCUUUCCUUGUAGUUUUCAUAUCUGCACAGCUUCUGGUUCAGUGUUACUAUGAGCCUUGUCAGUAUAAGCUUCAAUUGUAUGCAGUGUAGGAUGAAGUUGGAACAAGACGGAACCACUGAAGUCUGCUUUGACCCUGGAAUGAGAUUUUUACUUACAUUUCUUAUGCAACUUGUAGCUCUUUAGUCUGGAAAAGAAAGAGUAGGAAUUUGAUCCAACAGAAAUCUACAUCCAUGUGUGUAUCUGCAUUAUACUCAAGGUGCUUCAUAACAACAGAAUUCAGCUACAGUGAGUGCCAUUUACAAAAGACAGAUCUUUUUUUCCCCCUCAUUAUGUAAAUUGGAUUGUGCUGAACUAAAAAGAUAUUUUAAAAUAAGUGCUUUUUUGAUUAUUUAUGUUAAGCAUGUAGAAUUUCUUAACAAAAACUUACUAAGACAAAUUAAUCUACAACUAUAUUUUUAAACAGUUGUCUGUGUUCCAGUUUUUCAAAGUCUGAAAUGUUCCCAGUAUGAUUUUUCAAAGGUGAUGAGAGCCUAAUAGCUCUACUGAGCCUAUGGAGCACUGUGACAAAUCAUGAAAACCACCAUGUUUUGAGUUGAGUACACACAAGUAAGACUAGUGAAUGUGUCUGAAAUUUUUGGCAGUGUCUGAGUUCCACAGAGAUUACAUCAAAUACUGUAAAUGUAUGAAGUAAAUAACCACUGUAUGGUCCAUCACACAGAAUUUUAAUGCUAAAAAGUGGAAGUGUACUCAGCAUUUAUAUUCCUUUCUCCGCUUUUUUAACAGUCUGAUGAAAUCUAAUGAAAUCUAGACUCUAAUGAGUCUAAUGAAAUCUUGCUUGCUCAUGGUCUUGUUUCCAUUUUACUCAAUCCUGUGUUGGAUUCAUCAUAAUCCUGUGUUUAAAGCGUCAAGUCUGUUGUCAUAGAAGUGAUUGAUGUCACAAAUUCACUUAGAACUUCAUAGCAUGAGCAAAUUUUUUUUUUUUUUAAAGUGACUAGAGAAGAAGAAAAUUGUUUAAAUAAUAAAGCUUAGAUAAUGAGUAAAAGGAAAAAGUAUACAGGGAUAUACAAAGAGUAAGUGUUUUAUAACUGAAGUCUAUUGGAGGAAAUUUCUCUUUCAAAUACAGUGUUGUUUUUAGAGUUGUAUGUAAAAUACAUGUACAAGUGUAUCAUAUAACCAACCUUGAACUAUUACAUAUACCAAAACAAAAGAACACAAAAUAGACACAAUAGUGAAGAAGAAGUGAGGAUGAUAAAUGGAUUUUUUAAUGUCAAUGAUUAAAAAAUAAAUGCAUUUUAAUUAA